UACGUAGGGGGCAAGCGUUGUCCGGAAUCAUUGGGCGUAAAGCGUGCGCAGGCGGCUUUGCAAGACAGAUGUGAAAUCCCCGGGCUCAACCUGGGAACUGCAUUUGUGACUGCAAGGCUAGAGUACGGUAGAGGGGGAUGGAAUUCCGCGUGUAGCAGUGAAAUGCGUAGAUAUGCGGAGGAACACCGAUGGCGAAGGCAAUCCCCUGGACCUGUACUGACGCUCAUGCACGAAAGCGUGGGGAGCAAACAGG
rnacentral:rRNA from 1 species